AUGUUUAUAGCAGCACAACUCCCAAUGGCAAAUAUGUGGAAAUAAUCCAAGUGCCCAUUAAUAUAUGAGGGGAUCACCCUCUAUAUUUUUUAGACAUUUUCUUCUUUUAUGACUCAGAAGAUCUGUAUGUUGCACAUAAAGUCUAGUCCCCAAAGAUCUGUUUGUUUAAUUGGUUGUUUAAUUUUGAUAUCCAGGUAGAAUAGGGGAUUUAAUUAAUGAAGAGGAAGCAAUUAAUAGUAUAAAAUCCCUAAAAAUGUGAGAAUGGGUGUCAUUUAAAGCACAGGUAGAGAACAAGUUGGGGUCAACUCCAGAAUUAGAAUAUAAAUUUGAAAAGUAUGAUGGAGCAGGUAUAUUUUAAAGCUUUGAAAAUAUAAAAAUCACUUGAUAGCCUCUCUUUUCUUUGUAAAUUUGGAAGCAGGUGAAGAAGGAAGCGCACGUGCAUGUGUGCAUGCGUGCGUGCGUGCGUGUGUGUGUGUGUGUGUGUGUGUGUGUCUAGGAACGUAGGUUGAGAAGUUGUCAGAGGAGAUUGGAGAACCAGGAAAACUAUACUCCUAAUAAGUGGUUUCAUAUAUUAUAUUUUAAAAAUAUUACUCUAUGUGUUAUAAUCAAUGAGGAGAGGAAGAUUUGGUUACAUUAGGAUGAAAAAUGUGCUUAAAACAGCAGCAAAUUUAACAUUUGUCCAUGUACUGUCAUAUGAAAUAUUGCAAUGAAUUUUCACAGUCAGAAUUUUAAGGUUGAUUAAACAACAGCUCUGUUCUUGAAUUAAUAACCAGUAGAAAGCAGCCAUGAAUUUAAUGUACAUUAGCUAAUUGGAAACCAAGUCUUUGAUUUGUGACCUAAUGAACUUCCUAACACUGUCCUCCAACACCAGAGUUACAGGCAGGGAUGGACAAUCACCAGACUUUCCUGCUUUAGUAGAUUGUGUUCAGCAUGACAACCCAAAACUCUUAGAUUCAGAGAACAGACUGCUCUAUAAAAAGAAUAGAUUGAGUCACACAUGCCCAACCCCUUCUGCAGUAUUACCAGACAGGUAAGUCACUAUUCCUAAGAGAGAAAGGAGGGGGGUGGAGAGAAGCUGGGUGUUUUCCUUUCAUGCUUUUCUCUCCUGGAGAGUGAAAAUCCCUCUCAAACACCCCUGAAAUGUGAAGAGUGAGAUAUUUCCUUUAUCUCUCACAAGUCACUUCUGAAGUGAGUAAUAUCAACUAGACUUUAUAGAUGGAGAAUUUGAAGCUCAGAAACAUUACUUAUCAAUGGCAACUCAACUUACUAGACUUGGAAGGUGCUAUGGGUCUGACAACUGGGAAUGCCCACUAGUAGAACAGAGGGCCUUGAUGUUAUUGGACAGAGAAGUAUUCCUAUGUGAAGGAUGAAACCAACCAAUGACUUUGAAAACCUCUUCCAACACUAAAGCUUGUGCUUUAAAGGCAUCUGCAUCCUAAAGGGUCCUGCUAGCUUUGGGACUGAUUGUACUUUUAAAAGUUGUUUAGAUAAAAAAUUUUAAAAUAUCUGGAUAAUAAUAACAGGUAUGUAUGGAAUGAUCUUUGUUUAGCAAGCACUGUCUAAGUGGUUGGUUUCCAGGUAUUAAUUUAUUGACUUUUUAUAACAAUCCUAUUUGGAAGCUGUUUUUAUUAACCUCAUUUUAGGUUAAAGAAACUAAAGUACAGACAGACAAUGAAUUUGCUCAAAAUCACACAGAUAGUGACAGUGAUGACAUUCAAAGGUAACCUGUAUCCUUAACCGCUCUGGUAAACCAUCUCAGGAUCUUUGAUAAUUCUCAAUUUCAAAUUUGAUCCUUAUCCCAUAAGAUAUUAAUAUAUUUUUCUAUUACAAAGACAGAUAAUUUCUAACAAAGAAAAAUAUAGAAAGUUGGAUUGUUCAGGUUACUUUUCAAAAAAAAAUUAAUAAAACCUGGACAAUUUACUGUAAACCAGAAAAUUCAAAUGAUUAUAUGGACUAUUCAAACUGUGCUACUAUUUUUCUGGGAAAACUCUGAUAAAAUUUUAAUUUUUAGUAAAUAGAAAAAAUUUAGGUUGCUUUGUAAGUGUGUAUAAAUAUCUGAGGAGAGAUGAAGGCAAACAUAUGAUUCUGUAGUGAAACCAGGUGAAAUACAUCUGCUGUUCUAUUAUUUUCUAAAAGACUGAUAUGAUUUAAUAGAAUUCACAGAUGUAAACUCUAUAUAAUUAUAUACAUAUGUGUGUGUAUAUAUAUAUGUGUGUGUAUAUAUAUAUAUAUAUAUAUAUAUAUAUAUCUGUUAGUUGAAGGGCACUGUGAUAAGUCAUUCUAAAGCAGCAGCUGGUAAUCAAUCUAAGGUCUCUGGCAGAAUCCAGUUCUCUUUCUGUUUUUGUAAAUAAAGUUUUAUUGGCACACAGCCACAGUCAUUCACAUAAUGUCUAUGGUUGCUUUGGGACUGUAACAGCAAAGUUGAGUAGAAAUAACCGAGACCAUAUAUAUCUUGUAAAGUCUUAAUUAUUUACUAUCUUACCCUUUACAGAAAAAAAUUUUCUGACUCCUGAGCUUUUUCAUUUGUAAAGAUGGCUCUGCUUAACUACACAAUAAUAAUAAGACUUACACUUUCAAUAUUUACUCAAAAGAAGUCACGAUAUGCACAUAAACUCCACCUUUUUUUCAAUUAUUUUUGAGAUUGGAGAGCUUCUGAUAAAUUAUGACAUUAGAUAGUCAUAAGAGUGUUAGUUAAAGUGAGGAGUACAGGCUUGACUGCUAUGUUUCUCAGUGAAGAGAAGACCAAGAACAAAGGAGCCGUUUUUGACUUCAGCAUCCUGCAAUAUAAUGUUCAAAGCAAUUGGAACAGACAAUGCAUUUGAAAUACCUCCUUAUUCAACCCUGAGUGAUUUGAUUUUACCUAAAAUAAAAGAGUGUGCUAAGUUUAAUAAGGAAUGUACUCUUUAGGUGUCGAUAUUAGUCUCUUCUAAAAUAGUUAUUUUUACUCUUCUCAUUUGUUAAAUUGGACUGAUGACAUGGAUUGAAAAUGACUUCUUUAUUUUCCUCUCUACCCAUCUUCCUCAUUUGCCUAAGAGAUAUUUUUUUUCUAAAAAACAAAUUUAAUUGUGUCAUUCUUCCGCAUAAUAAUCUGAGUUGACUCUCUUUUGCCAUCAUAUUCAAAUCCAUAAUGUGGCAUAUGCCUCCCUAUAAAAUAUGGACCAAAUCUGCCAAUCAUUUCCUAUCACACUCAGAGGUAAGAUUUAAAAUAUUUAACAACUGGUAAGACAUGAGUCCAAUCAGAACAGAUACAAAAUAUAACCAGUGGGUAAAUUCAUACUGAUGCAUAUCAGCUGAAUAUCAGAACUGAGACACUUCUACACCCUCCACCUCUACCAAGUCUUCACUUUCCUAUAUCUAAAUUAUUAUAAUUACCCAAACUUACCAAGCUUACAGUAUCAAUUACACUCUUUCCCCCCAGAAUGACUUCCCUGUCUUUUACCUAUAAACUUAGGUGUAUCAGGUAACACAUUUUCUGACAGUUUUGAAGACUUUCUGAACUCCAGUAGGACUUCCCCAGACUUCUUGAAGUCCCUUUUAAUUUUUAUUUUUUGGUUUUCUCUUUCUCUUCCUCACUAGAAUAUGACCUCUUUGAAAGCGCGGGCAAAAGUUUGUUAAUCAUCAUGCUUUUCAUACUUAAUGUAUUGUAAAUAUUUGAGAAUGGCUGAAACUGCAGAGAAAAAAACAAGUUUGGCAGUUAUAUAGAAAAAGGUUUUCUCCAACAUCAGUGAGUCUAAGUAAAAGGCAAAUUUCCCGGGCUCUAAGAGUAGAAAAACAGACUGAAUGCAUGCUCUUCUGCAAGGAAGUCAACCAAAAGUCUGCUAGUGGAGAGCAGAGGUAAUUCCCUAUAACAUACUCCCCAUGAUUUUAUAAGGUCUACUUCAUAGUUUUUAGUAUAGAAUGGUGAGCUCUGGGUUUUGCAAAACACAUCAACGAAGAAAUGAGUAAUUUCUAUGAGGCUUAUCCAUGCAUUCAAUCACUUGCUAUGGGAAAUGUCAAAUGAUUAGUAAAGUGGUGAGACAAGGAAGACCAUAGACAUACUUGGAUACAUGUUUGUGCUAUUUUCAAGGAAGGCUUCAUACAUAGGUUUUGGUUCCUUUCAAAGAGAAAGAAAAUGGAUUUUGUUUUUUCAGUACUCUGACCUUGUAUUAUUAGGCUUGCCAACUAAGAAGGUAAAUGUUGAUUAGAAAUGGUCCAGUCAUUAGUUCAGGAAACUUUAUUUAUUUUUUUUAUUUUGAAUUUUUCCUUACAUUUAUUUUUCACUCAAAAGAAUACUUCUAUUGAGGGGGGAGGUGGGCAUGGGCAAUAUACGUAACCUAAACACUUGUACCCCCAUAAUACGCUAAAAUAAAUAAAUAAAUAAAUAAAUAAAUAAAUAAAUAAAUAAUAAUACUUCUGAUUUUCCAACCCAAUUGGAAUUUUUAGGUAGCUUUUUAUUAUUGACUUCUAGCACAAUUACAUUAUCAGAAAUAUGCAGUGUGAUUUUAUUUCUCUGAAAUAUAUUGAGAUUUGCUUUAUGGGCAAAAAAUACAGUUAAAUUUUGUGUGCUUAAAAUGACUGCAUCUUGAACAGUUGCUGCACAAAUAGAAAGAUGUUAGAUAGAUAAUAAAUAAAUAUGGUUGAGGUGGUUUUCUAUUAGAAUCUUCCACAUGUCCCUGGUGUUUUGGUGCUUAUUAUAUGAAUUGUUGAAGGAGGGGUGUGAAACCUCCCACUCUGCUUGUGUGUUGGGUCCUUCCUGAGGUUCUGUCAUCAUUCACUUUCUAUGUUUUGCAGGCAAGACUGACCAUGGGAGCACUGGGGAAUUGGGGAAGGAAGGAAAGGCCCAGCAGUAGGGACAGGGGAGCUGGGUUGGGGAGGAUGAGAAAUCAGAAGGUGAGGAAAGGUUCCAGAGAGAAUCUGUCCUUGACAGCACCUGGUGAGGCUGGGGUGGGGGAGGGGGUGUCCUCAGAAUUGGGUGAGGUCACACAGGGGUGCCCAUUGUGAUGCUCUAAGGGCAGGCAGCUGAUUGGUCCACAGGGAGUAUAAAGCAUCCACAGGGAGUAUAUAGCAAAGACCACACAGGAGUAAGGUUUGGAGGAAAACAAAGCUCUGUUCCCCUCCAAAUUAUCCUGAGUGUCCCACUCACCUGCCCCUUUCUGAUUGCUUUCAGCAAACCUGCUCAUAUCUUGACCUGUCGCUAAGCCCUCAUCCCUCUCCUCAAUGGCUUCCUUUGACCCCAAUACUUCCCCAGACCCUUCCUCCUCUUCCUCUUCCCAGGUGCCCAACACCCCCUUCCCUCCAUACCACCCCCCAGCCCAGGCUCUCUUCCUCUCUCCAAUUGCAACCUAUGCUCUUUCCCAGCCCUGACACCAUCAGUCCCCCUCCCCACCCACUGACCCACCCAACCUCCUUCCUGGAGACCUCAGGGCGUCCUGAGAGGACUCAAAUAUGGAUAUGAAGAGGCUGUUCUUCCUGAUCCUCCUGCUCAGCCCUCCGUGUCACCAGACCGGGAAUAUCAAAUCAAGAGAACACUCUCCCCUUGGUGCUGGUGUGCCCUUACUUACAAACACCUGCUAAGCUCAUUUUGCAACAAAGGAAGAAGCAGCCUGGAAGUCAACAUGUUGGCAAGCAGGAGUCUCUACUUUGGUUUAAUAACCGUUUUCUUGUCAUCAUAUGUAUUUUUAGCCUAUCUUUUAUUUACGAGAGCACACUCUUAAUCACUAAGCCAGGAUCAACCUGAUUAUUCACUAGUGUUUUCCUGAAGGGACUCAGAGAGGGGAUGUGCAGAGAGACGUAGAAUCAUUCCUUGGACCACAUCCAGCAGCAAUAAAAGAAAGAGAAAGAAGGUUCUACUUCAUUGAUCCCCGAACACUGCAAUCUGUGGACCACUCCAGUCAGCAAUAAACUUAACUAUAAGAUCACCAACUUCAUGAGCUUUCUCUAAAUAAUGCCAAUGAUUUAUCAUCAUUAACUAAAUACCAUCUCCUUUAAUAAGGCAUCAAUUCUAUAUACAACUACCAAUUCUUUAUUUAAACUAAGCUAUAAGCAAAAGUAUAGAUGUGGAAAUAUAAACACUCGUCUCAUGGAGAAUUUGUACAACCUGACUUGCAAAGUAAAAGGAUUUACUUAAAGGCAAAUCAACUUCUGUAUUCUUUCUGGGAGAAUUUGAUUAUUAAGACACUGGAGAAAUCAGCUUAGAAAGCAGUUUUAAAAAUAAGGCAAUCAUACAUACAGGGUUAUAUCUAUCACCUCACCCCAGAAUAACUAUUAUUAAUAAUAGCACCUGCAAAAUUUCCUGGGUUGAGUGAUAAAUUAUAUGGCAACCCUACUAAAAGAGCAUCUUAUGUCAGGGACUUCACUCUGCAGUGUAGUAGAGGAUAGUAAUACAGAGAUAAAAGACGCAUUUCCUGCCCUCAAGGAUUUCACAGAUCAGAUUUCAUUCCACUUUGAGGGAGAUACAUAAAAAGAAAAUGACGAUGUAGUGCAAUAAAUGUCAGAAUAGAGAUGUUGAAAUAAGGUGCCUGGAUAGUAUUGGAGAGACACUAAACCUUGAGUGAGGAAGGGUGGGGGUCUAGGGACUUCUUUCAGGAGAAGUAACCCUUCUGAAUUGUAAUGGAUCAGAGAUGUAAUCAGUAUUUGAAUAUCUGGUGGAAGAUGAAAUUCAAAAUAGGAGGACAACAAGUGAACUUUGAUGGGAUACGCAAGAUAGGUAAUAACACAUAGUGAUAAUGAAGCACAGGAUUUAUUUGAGACCAGAAUUUUAGAUUUUUUAAAUCUCAAGUCUGUGGAAUUCUAGCUGUGUCUGUUCAGUAAUUUACUGAACCUCUCUGAGUCUUGGUUUCUUCAUGGGUCAAAGGGAGAAUAAUGAUAUCUAACUCAUAGGCUUGUGGGAGGCUUCAAUAAAUUACUGUAUGUAAAGCCAUUUUAAAAAUGUGUGGCACAUAGUAAGUCCAUAACAGAUUGCUUUAAUAAGAUUGAAAUAUGUGGAGCGUUUGCACGUGGCUAUCGCAAGUUGAGCAGGGAAGGCAGUUCCUUGUGUGGUAUACCCAAGGAGUUUGCACUUGAUCCUGAGGGAAAUAACAGUUAUUGAAGGGGGAGUGACACACAAAAGAGUGAUAAGAUCAGUCUGAAUUUUUUAAAAGAUUAAUCAUUCUUGGCAAGUGUGCGGAGGAUGGGAUAGAGAUGAGAUUAGCAGGAGGCAGAGAGAAAAGCUUUUGCAGCAGAUGAUGAAUGGCAGCAAGGAAGGAGGAAAACAAAACAAAACAAAACCUGCUCUAUUCAGGAAACAUUUAGGCAGCACCAUCUAACCCCAUGUUAAAACCUUCACCAUGGCAUGGGGCAUCCUCACGACAAAGGCUAAUUAUCCAAAAUAGGGUGAAGAGAUGAAACUUGAGUAUUCAAAAACGUGAUACUUUUAGUAUCUAUUUUACAAAGGUUACAUUUACAGGUGACUGAACAUUAAAGCCAGAAGGGAUAUAAACGAAGGAUGCAGUCCAUUUUUUCCCAUCUGGCUACCAUUAAAAUUGCCUGGGGAUAUUUUACAAAAUACCAAUUCUCAGGACCCACACUUGGUAAAUUAAGUAAGGGUCUAGGUUGGAGCUCAAGUGCUGGUGAGUCUUUAAAGCUCACCAGGUGAUUCUAAGGUGCAGCCAGGCUGGAGAAGCCCCACAGAUCCCCUCCAACUCCCAUACUGAACAGAGGUGAAUGGUGAGCCCCAGAUAGUCUACUUUUAGGAUGCCAGUGGUUACCAUGUUACCUGUUUUAACCUAGUGUAAUUAUAUAUAGUUUCUUAUGUACUUAUAGCAAGAUCAGAACCUCUUGGACAUUUGAUAUGAAAUCAUAUUUUAUAAUAAGUUAAUGUGAUGGAAGAAAUGGGGAAAAACACAACAUGAAAAAAAUCAUACCAUAAGAAAAAGAAAGUGUAAGAAAGGAAGAGUUUAUAGUUUAUGCAAACAAUAUGAAGUGAGACCACGCGUGCAUUCCACAGACCCAGGGUAGACAACGCUUACCAAGUUAUGAGAGACUGGUUUCCUUCUAGAAUAGGCUGGGAAAGGGUAGUUAGGAGAGGACAGGAAAAGCAGAGAUAGGAGAAGGAGAAGAGGAGGAGGCAGAGGAAGAGGAAGAGGGGGAGGGGGAGAAGGAGCAGGAGGAGGAGGAAGAGGAGAAGGAAGAAAACCUCCAGGAAGUCAAGGAGCUACAUCUGAUUUGUUCACUUUUGCAUCCCCUGCAUCACGAGCAGCACUUUGCAGACAGACUAGUCCCAUGUUUUAUUUAAAGGUCUGAAUAAAUGGAAGAAAGGAAGGCAUGGAGGGAGGGCAAACAGGUCAACCAGAGUUACUCAUCCACUUUUUCUCUUAGGCCCAUUAAAUAUGAACAGGCUCAGAAAUGAGAAAAUAAUUUUCAAAAUGUUCAGUCUCCCUUAUGUACUGGACUUUUGCUCCCAGAAGCACCUUUAAAUUUCUUUGGCAUAGGAAUUUUCAGUGGUCCCCAUCCUGGGUCUGGAGUUCUGUGUAGAGAGUUUCUUUACUGAUGCUCUGGGUGUAAGAGUGUAGGCUGCCUAGAGAGUAAGUUCUGGGUUUAAAAUCAGGCCAUGUUGCUUAACCACCUGAUCUGGGGCCAGGUUCUUCACUGCUUUUAGCAUCAAUUUUCUUAAAAUGGGUGUUGCUAUGGGCUGAAUGUUUAUGUCUCCCCCAAAUUCAUAUGUUAAAGUCCUAAUCCCCAGUGUGAUGGUAUUUGGAAGUGGGGCCUCUGGAAGAUAAUUAGGGUUAGAUUAUAUCAUGAGGGUGGGGUAUGCAUGAUGAAAUUAAUGUCCUUAUAAAAAGAGAAAGAGACAAGAGAUCUUUUUCCUUCCAUGUGUAUGAACCUAAAUAAAUAAAUAGAUAGAUAGAUAAAGGCCACGUAAGUUUAUAGAAAGAAUAUAGCCAUCUGCAACCAGGAAUCAGGCCCUCACCAGACACCUCAUCUGCCAAGACCUUCAUUCUGGACUUCCCAUCCUUCAGAACUGUGAAAAGUCAGUAUUUGUUGUUUAAGAUAUUCAAUCUAUAGUAUUUUGUUAUAGCAUCCCAAACUGACUAAGACAGGUAUAUUCAUUCCAGUUGUUGGAAGUGUUGAUGAGGUGAUACACAUGGUUAUUUGCACCUUAGCCUGCAUAUGGUCAGUGAUGUUAGAUGUAUUAUUGCAUUGUGUUUUUUGUUGUAAUAUUAUUUAUUAUAAUUUGACCCAUCCCAUUUCUCACUGGUGAGAGCAAAGAACCAUAGUGUGAGAAACCACAGAAUUACAAGGAGCCCGUAGGGCUAGAUUCCACUUUACUGGUCCUUGGCCCCAACCUUUUAUUUUAAACUGAAAACUCCUAACUGGAUUUUGUUUGGUCUGGCCUAUAGUCACACAUGAUCUCAGAUUAGGGGUUAGGCAUUUCAAGGUAACAUGAGGUGUCCCUUUAUCAUCUUUCAAGUGUCUGAUCCUAUUACAAGGUGACAAAUUUCUUUGGAAAAGAUUUUAGUUCUUAAUCUUUAGAAUACAGUAAAACAAACGGGAAAUAUUGCGACCAAAAGAUAUUUCUUUCUUCUCAACGUGGUUGUCCCUCUGUGCAUGGUGCCUUUGGUGUAUCUUUCUCUUCUUUUAAGGAAACCACAUAUAUUUGAUUAGGGUCCCACUCAAACAUCUUCAUUUUUGCCACAGGGAUCUUUAUUAUUCAUGGGGUGGGGUGGUUACAACAUGGACAGGGAGGAGUGAUCUGAGGGGAGGACCCAGGCCUUCCUCCUGGUUACAGAUGAGUUAGAGUUUUCAUACAGCAAGAUUUUAGAAUGAAUUUUCCAUUUUGGAAAAUUCUUUUCUUGAGAAAAGAAGAAAUAUUUGCUGAUUAAGUCAAAAAAGAUAUGGCAUCCCCAAUUUAAAACAUCCUUAAGUGUUAGUUUGCUCAAACUGCCCUAACAAAAUAACACAGAUUGGGUGUUUAAUAAACAGAAAUUUAUUUUCCCAUAGUUCUGGAGGCUGGAAGUCUAAGAUCAAGAUGCUGGCAGGGUUGGUUUCCUCUGAGGCCUUCCUCCUUGGCUUACAGAUGGACACCCUUUUGCUGCCUCUUCAGGUGGUUGUCCCUCUGUGCAUAGUGCCUUUGGUGUAUCUUUCUCUUCUUAUAUGGAAACCAACUUAUAUUUGAUUAGUGUCUGACUCAAACAUCCUCAUUUUAAAUUAAUCACCUUUUAAAGACUUUAUCUCCAAAUAUGAUUACAUUGUUAGACACUGGAGGUUGGGACUGUAACAUAUGAAUUUGAGGGCACAAUUCAGUCCAUAACACCUUAUCAAUGAGUCUUCAUUUGAUGAAUCUAUGGUUGUGACCCUAUGGAAUGAUCCUAAUAUAUCUUUCAAGUUACCCUCCAGCACAUAUUACCUCCCCAGAAAAUCAAGUAAACACCAAACCUUUAAGAGUAGCCGAAUUUCCUUUUGGGAUUAUAACACAAAUUUCAUAAACUGGGUCUCCUGAAAACAAACACUAAGGGUUGCACGUAGGAGUUUUAUUGGAGAGUAUUUUUCCUAACAACCCUGUAAAAGCAGGACUGGGCAGAAAGAAAAGCUGAACUGUGAGGCAGUUGCAACAGAGACUUUUUGCUGAUCCUUUGGGACUCUUGAGCUGGAUAACCUUUCAGAGUCUUCCCCUUUUGUCUCUUUGUAUUGGAAGAUUGCUCCCAUGGAAGGGGGCACCUCAAACAAGACAGAUUCCUUGGUGCUACCAUAGUCUAUGGAUUGCUCAGAUUUAUUACUUCAUACAGAGUUUACUCUACUAGAAAUAGCUGCCCCGAGAUUCUGGUUAAUCUCUUUUCCAGGGAAAACAUAUAAUGGUUAAGUGUGGUGAAACAAACUAUAGGCCCCACCUCUGAAGCUGACUUUGAAUCCUUAACUGACACUGUUGUUGUCCUGCCCAGUGCAUUCUAGAGUUCCCUCGCCCUUGGCAAGCCUCAUUGCCUUUGCUUGCCUCAAUUGCUUACUCACUGAUUAGACCCAGAGCUUCAUCCCUGAGGGGUCUCAACUCCAGGUCAACAUGUCCUUCUCAGUUUAUGACUAUUGUAAUCAUCAGUUUUCUGUCAAGAUGUGGCAAAAAGGUACCAAAAGAUACUCCAGUGACUCACUCGAUAUAACAAUCAUGUUCUUCCCUGUCACUGUGGACACUGGGUGUCAGAAGGCACACCUCUCUCCCUGUCAGGGUGGUGAUUCCUUUGCCUGCUUGCUCAUUUCUUCACUCAAGAAGCCUAACAUGUAACUGAGUGUCAGCUAAAGCUAAAAAAUUAGUGGGACACUUCACUGUGUCCCCUUUGAUGAAAGCAUUCCCCCAUGGAAACCAGGGCGUCUAGAUUCAGAGAAUCCAGAUUUGUAGAGAUGGAAAGUAUAAGGACCUCCAGUGGGCCCCUUGGAGUGAAAGUAAGUGAGGACAUGCACACUUCCACUGCUUUGUUGCUGAUAAAUGUAUUUUACCUACUAGGGACACAGUACCACUUCCUUGAUUAAAGCUGUUUAAUGUGUCUUAUAGAAUGGCACUCCAUCUUUGAAGGGCAUUAUACCUAUGCCAAUAGCUCAGUUGUGCCUUCAGGAGACUGUGCCAUUGUUGUAUAUGUCUGGCCGCUUCUGGCAUGUGCGGUAUGUGAUAGGACCAGUGAGUCCCAUGUACAUGUGACCACUGUCAUACCUUCUCAGCUAUUCAGUGAGUCCCUUGGGCUACUUCAACCUUAUGCAGGAUGUCAAGUUGGUGGAUUGCUCUGUGAGCCGCCACAGAGGUUCUAACUGAAGCCCUCUGGGAAGGAAAGGUAAAUCCAUACAUAGAAUAUGUAUUGAUUUCAGUCAAAAGAAAUUGUCCCUUUCAAAGUCAAAGAAGUACAAUGAAGACAACAUGCUGCCAAAUAGCUGGUUGGUUUCCUUGAGUGAUGGUGCCAUGUUGGGGACUUGGCUGUGGUCCCUGUGGCUUCUAGGUUGACAGUGGCAGUAACUGGAUCAAUCCUGAAGAAUAAAACCCCAUGCUGUUGGAUCUAUGCAUAACGAACAGCUACUAUCUUACAGAGCCCAUGUACUAGGAAUGGGGUGGCUGAUGACCAAGAAUGGCUAAUAUCAAGUGGUUGUUUGAUGCCUCCUGCGUGGUAGAUGCUCUCUGAUGAACUUUAAUGUGCAAUUCAAAGAUCUUAACACUUUGACCACUCCUGGUAAUAAGGUAAUACACAUACACAAAAUAAGGUAAUACACAUACCUUAUUUUCCAAAUCUUCUUGUUACUGCUUAUUUCUUUCUUUCUUUAUCUCUUUUCAGGCCCCUCCCUAAUACCCAGCCAAGCCACUAAACACUGUUCAGUAAUCCAUGUGUAUUCACUUUAGGCCACUUUUCUUCCCACAUAACAUAGACAUUCACCAAAGUUCUACCCAUCAGGAGGAUUUUCUCUCAUCAUUAUCUUUCAGGACCACCACAAGAAGGUCUAUGGUACAGUAACAGCCCAUUUUUCGGCUUGUAACCACACACUGAACUGGCUCAUCCAUGAAUCAAGCUUAACUUAUUUUCUUCUCUGUGAUUGGGUCAUAAGAGACUCCUCAAACAGCCAUAGAUGUUAGCACUGAGAGAAAUACUGACUUACCAGUAGUGGGUGGUGUGGGUUCUGAGGUAUCUGCUAUCUGCUCUUGCAGCAUACUAAUGUCACUGCUUUUGCUUAUGCUUGACUCAAAUGUACCAUUUUUUCAUCUUAUAAUGCAAUGCCACUGCUGUGCCACUGCAAUGCCACACCUCCAGAGCUGUCUCCAUUUGAAGUAAGAGGGCAGCUUCUGUACUUUCACAUCUUCCCUUCAUUGGAAGUAAGCUUCUCUCAUGGAAGGGGAGGAGUGCUUAAGGUGAGGCAGCUUCCAAUCUUCUUUUGGAAGAGGGAAAUUGGAGAGGGACUUGGCUGUGAGUUGUCAGCAAUCAACACUCCUGGCAGCUGAGAGAAUGAGUGCCUUGAUUCUGAAGAGCAAUCAUCAUGGCACCCCAUAGCUUCUACUGCAUAUAUUUUAAAGGAUAAUAGGAAAGAAAGAAGGACUAGAAAGUGGUGGGGGGAGUUUGGUAACUAAACCCUAUUUGGGAUCUCAUUCUAUGAUAAGAUUCUUAUUCAUGUAUUUAAACAAAAAGAUGCUGCAGUGAAAAGUCAGGUUCAGAUCCUCUGUCUCUAUAUAAAAGUCUAAAUUUCUCUCACAGCUAACCUAACAAAUGUAGACAGAGAACAUCUUAAACUGCGCAAAUGUCAUCCCCAAAUCUUUUAGAUGUCAUAAAGAAGAUUGAACCUUAGAAAAUAAUUAAUAAAACUCUUUCAUUGUCAGAACUCGAAACUAACACAUAGGAUGAAUGGCUUAUCUAUUUGUUGUCUAAGCCUCAGUUUUUUGCAUCUGUAAACUGGAAACCACAAUACUUCCUACUCACAGGUCAUAACCACUUGUAGAACCCAAGACCAUAUAGCCAGAAAGUGAGUAAAGAGGACAUUUGAUCUUAGGGCAAAUGGUUAUAAAGCCUUCAUUUUGUUCAAUCCACCACACAUCCAUAAUGUCUCCUUCUAAAAACAUUAUAGUUCACUAAAGAGUCCAUUGGAUCAUUCACUCAGCUUAUACUUAUUGAUGCCUAUUGUACCAGGCCCAAUGCCAAGACCUGGAAAUUCGACCAAUGUUAAAAGCACCUGCUUUCUUGGAGCCUGUACUCUAACUGAAAAGAUUCACAUUCUUCAAAUAAUCACAAAGUAAAUAAAAAUAUACACUUGUAACAAGUGCUCUGAAAUAGAGGAAUAUGGCUCCAGGAAUGUGCAUAAUAGAAGUUAUGGAAGAUGCUGCCAAAGUAAUGUGUACUGCGUGGAGAUAUAAAACAUUAAUAGAGUUAAUUUGAGAAAAAAAAUUAAAAAGAGUAUUUAAGGCAGAGGGAACAAUACAUGCUGAGAACCUUUGGCAAAAGAGGAUGUGACACAUAUAAAGGAUUAAAAGAAGGUUAUUCUGGCUGCAGUGGAGAGAGCGAAUAGGAGCUUCAGAGAAGCUGCAGAGGUGAGCAAAGGCCAGACCACACAAGGUCAUGUUUGGGACAUUUGCCUUUACCUUGAGAUAAAUGGGAAAUCAGUGUGUUGUUUUAUUCAGGGGAAGAUAUAAUCAGAUUUGCAUUUUUAAAAGUUCCCCUAGCUGCCUUGGGGAGAAUGGAUUGGUGGAGGACACGACUAGAUAACAAUGAAGAGUUAUGAGUCUAUUGCAGUUGUCCUGAUGAAAGAUGAUGAUAGCGUGGAUUAACUAUGCCAGCAGAGUUGGAGAAAAGUGGAUGGAUUUGAACAGUAUUUAGUCAGUAGAACUGACAGCAUUUGAUGCUGGAUUACAUAUGAGAGAAAUGUCCAGGAUGACUUUCUAGGUUUUUGGUUAGCAUAACUGAAUGGAAGUGAGGCCAAGAUAUAAACAUAUAAGCAUUGCCAGGCAAAAUGUGAUUAAAUAUUUAAUGAGUUUGCUUGCAUACAAAGAGAAUUCUAUGAAUUUAGAGCUUUUAUCAGUGUCAUGGUCUUUUAUUUUUGACUUGUGGAUCCUUUAAAAAAAUUGAUAAAAUUUAUAAAACCUAUGUCUAGACAAAAACACUUUCUUACCUAUUCAACAUUUUUUAUGUAUUUUAUGGGUCUGCUUCAUCCAGGUAAAUUUCAUAUCACAUGGUAUUUAUGCAGUCCAUGGAUUUGAGGCUAAGAAACACUACCAAAUAUUUAUUCUAUAAUGUGUACCCUAUGGUCUCACUUUCACAUCAUACUACAUAAAUUUGGAAGAUAGGGAACAUCACUUCCCCUUGCUGCCACAGUUAUCCAUUUAUUGUAUUUUACUGUUGACUAACAAAUGAGUAUUGAGUGAACACUUGCAAAGCACUAUCCUAAUCCUCAGAGGGAAUCAUGAAACAUAAAUGCUCCUCUGGGAACCCAUACAAAAACACAUCAAUCCUUAAUGACAGAACCAAAGACAAGGGUCGCCAUGGCACUACUGACAGGGAAAAAGCAGCUCUCCCUCAGAGAAAAACUGCCUUCUGUCAGCUGCUCUUCAUGUUUAUAGCUUUGUGUGACCUUAGGGGAAAAUAAAAUAUUUCCUUCCCCAGGGAAGGAGUCAUUUGGAUGCAGCUGCAUUUGAAAGAGAAUUGCUGACUUAGGAUCUAAUUCCAUGAUGAACAUUUUAUAAAAAACUAUAUAUAGAAAUUAUAUACACUACAUACUGUAUACACAUGAGACAUAAAUUAUAUGCCAAAUCAGCUCUUGUGCCAAUCCAAAAAUAUUGAAAAGAGGAUAUGCACUUAAAUUGCAGCUGGCAGGCUUAAAAUGAAAAAUAUUUUAAAGGAAAAUCACAGACAUAGAGAUAAAGUGUCACCUUCUCCAAAGAUUCUUUUAAAAUUAUGCAAUAAUCUGACAUAAAAUUUAACUACAGUGGGUUUUUUUGAGUUUAGUGGUAAGUUUGAUUAAGUUCAAAGAUUUCUUCCAUUUCUCAUAUUCAAAGGAAAUAAAAAUAUCAAACAUGUAUUGAAGGCUUACUGCAUGCCAGAUACU